CAAUUUUGCCUAUAUCAGCAGUUGGGGUUAAGGGUUUAACAAGAAAUCUGGGGAUAAAAGCACAGCCUUUGCCUUGGGUCAGGAGCUUCACCUUGGACUCUUGAAAGAGUGCCGGGAACUUGGAUCAUCGCUUGAUUAUCGGGAACCUGAGGUUCAUGUACCCAAAGGCUGCGGAGCUCCCCGAUUGCGCUGAUUGAUUGAUGCUGAACUGGCUAUUCCUGUAAUUAUCACCAUACAAAGCUAAGUAAAGUUAAACCAAUUCUAAGGGGACAUGACAAAUGGACACCAGUGUACAUCCCUCCGCCUAAGCAUCCUGUCAAUCUCAUCAAUAUCGCAUACCCGGAGGACAAAAGGAAAUUACUGAAACAAUACAAGCCUUGCUAGAAGCUGGAGAAUUUUGACCAGCAAUAAGUCCAUUUAAUGCUCCAGUUUUUCCUGUAAAGAAGAAGGAUGGAAGCUGGAGAAUGUGGAUUAUCGGGGUUAAACAAAGCAGCCCCACAUCUUGCUGCUGUUGUUCCAGAUAUGGUUUCUAUUGUCAAGGACAUUGCCCAAACUGCUUGAAAUUAGCAUGCAGUAUUAGACUUGGCAAAUGCUUCCUUUUCCAUUCUUAUAGCUGAGGAGUCUCAAGACCAGUUUGCAUUCACCUGGAGAGGCAAACAAUAUACACUAACUGUAGUACCCCAGGGGUACAUACAUUCUCCCACAAUCUGUCAUGGACUGGUAACCAGGGAUCUGGCCAUGCUGCCUACACUGGACUGUAAGCUGUAUCAUUACAUUGAUGAUAUUAUGAUUUCAGGCAGCUCAGAGGAACAAGUGAAAAUGGAUUUACAAACAGUGUUGACAUGUGUGCAGAAAAGAGGAUGGGCUAUAAAUGCAGAAAAAAUCCAAGGACUAGCUAAUAGUGUCAGAUUUCUAGGAAUGAUCUGGGCUGUAACAGUGAAGACUAUCCCACAGCCUGUGUUGGACUCAAUUGCGGCACUCAAAUCACCCAAAAAUGUAAAGGAAGCCCAAAGUUUGUUGGGCCUGCUGGGAUUUUGGAGGCCUUUUAUUCCGCACCUGGGCCUCAUUAUCAGGCCUAUUUACAAUAUUACUAGGAAAAAGGCUGAAUUAAUUUAGUGAUCUGAGCAGCAAUUGGCACUCGACGCAGCCAAAGAAACUGUAAGGACUCAUCAUUCACUAGGUCAUAUUCAACCAGAUCACCCAUUCUUUCUAGAUGAAGCAGUGACAGAUCAUGGAAUGUCUUGGGGAUUGUGGCAAAAAGGGCCUAAUCCAAAAGAUAGGAAAAUUCCUCUGGGUUUCUGGUCUAAGCAAUUUUCAACUGCACAGAAAAAGUACAACCCAUUAGAGAAGCAGUUGUUAGCUGCUUAUUCUGCUUUGCAACAUGUUGAGCCUACCACCAAACAGCAACCUGUGACUGUGAGGACCGAUUUACCUAUUGCUGGGUGGGUGAGACAGGAAGGGCUACAAUCCCGUACAAGUGUGGCCCAGAAACAGACCUUACUGAAAUGGAAAUGGUAUGUGAGUGAAAGAGGGGGAAUCUUUUCCCAAGAUCCUAGUCAGCUAUCACAACAAAUUGCUGGCCUUGUUAGUUUUGAAUCAAAUUCACCUCAAUUGCUCCCAAUGCAAAUAGAGGAGUCUCCAUUCAAGGAAGCCCCACCAUGGAUAGAAUCAUCAGCAGAAGAUAAACUACAAGCAUGGUUUACAGAUGGUUCAGCUAAAGUGACUCCCAAGGGCCGAUAUGGACUGCAGCAGCCUUCCAGCCUAGUUCAGAGACUGUGAUUCAUCAAACUGGAGAAGGAGGUUCUAGUCAAUAUGCUGAACUACAGGCAGUUUAUAUGGUUGUCCAAGAAACCUUGGGGGACUUGGUUAUCUAUACAGACAGCUGGGCUGUAUUUAAAGGACUCACUACCUGGCUUUGUACCUGGAAAAAAGACAACUGGCAGGUAAACGGGGUGGGCCAAAAAGUAUGGGACUAUUUAUUGUUUCAAGGAAAAAUAGGUUUAUACAAGUUGGCCAUGUUAAUGCUCACAAUGGAAAUAUAAACAAUGAAAUAGCAGAUGGACUAGCACAAGGCUUUAAUGCACAACAAGAAGAGACUACCUUGGAACUGCUGGGCAAAUGAGCUCACAGCCAAACAGGACAUAGAGGAGUUCAAAGUACUUGGCAGUGGGUACAGCAGAGAGGAAUACCUCUAACACAGAUCCAAUAAAGGACAAUAUUGUUCAAUGUCCUAUAUGUCAGGAAGCUAAGAAAUGGCCACCCAUAACCCCUUUGCCUGGAAAAAUGAAUCAAGGACAAAAGUCAGGUCAAGUCUGGCAAGUGGAUUAUAUUAGAUCCUUGCCUGGGGGAAGGGGUGGUUUGAGAUUUUGUGUAACUGCUGUGGACACAUACAAUGGAUUUUGUACAAGUAUUUCCAACAAAAAGUGCGGAUAAAAAGACUACCUUACGAUUGAUGCAAUUAUUGUUACAACAUUAUGGAAUAGCUCAAGAAGUACAAUCAGAUAAUGGCACACAUUUCACUGGACAGACUGUAAAGCAAUGGGUGGAGGACAAUGGUGUACUGGGUGUUUCUCUACUACCCCCAAGCAGCAGGGUUGAUUGAGAGAAUGAAUGGUCUUUUGAAGGAACAAAUUCGCAAACUUACACCUGCUUGCACACUAAGGGGGUGGAAAAAGGUGUUACAAGAGGCAGUAUACUUACUGAAUAAUAGAUCAGAAGGGCAUAGCACUCCUAU